rnacentral:rRNA from 1 species
UAGGGAAUAUUGGACAAUGGGGGCAACCCUGAUCCAGCCAUGCCGCGUGAGUGAAGAAGGCCCUCGGGUUGUAAAGCUCUUUUGUCCGGAAAGAAAAGCAUUCGGUGAAUACCCGGAUGUUCUGACGGUACCGGAAGAAUAAGCACCGGCUAACUUCGUGCCAGCAGCCGCGGUAAUACGAAGGGUGCAAGCGUUACUCGGAAUUACUGGGCGUAAAGCGUGCGUAGGUGGUUGUUUAAGUCUGAUGUGGAAGCCCUGGGCUCAACCUGGGAAUGGCAUUGGAAACUGGGCAGCUAGAGUGCGGUAGAGGGUAGUGGAAUUCCCGGUGUAGCAGUGAAAUGCGUAGAGAUCGGGAGGAACAUCUGUGGCGAAGGCGACUGCCUGGACCAGCACUGACACUGAGGCACGAAAGCGUGGGGAGCAAACA